rnacentral:rRNA from 1 species
UACAGGGGGUGCAAACGUUGCUCGGAAUCAUUGGGCGUAAAGCGCACGUAGGCGGUUCGUUAUGUCGGAUGUGAAAGCCCUUGGCUUAACCGAGGAAGUGCAUCCGAAACUGGCGAGCUAGAGUACGAAAGAGGAUCGCGGAAUUCCCGGUGUAGAGGUGAAAUUCGUAGAUAUCGGGAGGAACACCAGUGGCGAAGGCGGCGACCUGGGCCAAUACUGACGCUGAGGUGCGAAAGCGUGGGGAGCAAACAGG